CAACGGAUCUCUUGGUUCUGGCAUCGAUGAAGAACGCAGCGAAAUGCGAUAAGUAAUGUGAAUUGCAGAAUUCAGUGAAUCAUCGAAUCUUUGAACGCACAUUGCGCCCGUCAGUAUUCUGGCGGGCAUGCCUGUUCGAGCGUCAUUACGCCCCUCAAG
rnacentral:rRNA from 1 species